GUCCCGCCCAACAGGAGCCCAGCUCUGGCAGGAGGGGCAGGUUGGCACCUCUACACAGCGGCUGGGAGCAUGGAGACCACUCACCCGUCACCUGCCACAAACCACUAGUCAUGGAGGGUGGACUCCCAGGCCACAGACUGACCAGGACUCAGACACAGGGUCUCGUUCUGUCACUCAGGCUGGAGUGCAGUGGCAAGAUCAUAGCUUGCUGCAACCUUGAACUCCUGGGCUCAAGUGAUGCUCCUACCUCAGCCUCCCGAGUAGUUGGGACCACAGUCCCAGACAGUUCACAGCUGAGGAGGAACAAAGCAGAGGAAAGGGACGUGGCGUGACGUGCUGGGAGUGAAACGCUGACACCUCCGUGGCCAUCUGGGACCACGACCUGCACUACUGCCCUCACACCCGGACCUGGAGCUGCCACUUCCUGCCUGCUUCCCAGAAUAGCUGGGCUCAUCCUCUGAGCAGGCUGCCCUGCCUUCCUCUGUCUCUGCUCAGGACAGAGACUCCUCCUAGGACACCAAACACCCCCCACACAGCACAGACCCAGCCUCCCAGCCAACGGCCACUCACUGGAGCAAAGGGAGCCAAGUCUGGCUUUGGACAGGAAGAUGGGGUUUGCCAGGCAAGGGGUGCAGAGAUGCUGAACUUGAACAUGGAGGGGAAACAAUGAUGAUGCCAAGGGAAGGGGCCCUGGGAUCCUACCAGACCCUACCCCAAAGUCCGAAGCCACUCUUCAUGAAAUAAUAUGUGAUAUUAAAAACUUAAAUUUUCAGUUUCAUGAAACAGCAAAUAAAAGCCUUGAGAUAGUUGCUCUCCCAA
rnacentral:lncRNA from 1 species